UACGUAGGGUCCGAGCGUUGUCCGGAAUUACUGGGCGUAAAGAGCUCGUAGGUGGUUUGUCGCGUUGUUCGUGAAAACUCACAGCUCAACUGUGGGCGUGCGGGCGAUACGGGCAGACUAGAGUACUGCAGGGGAGACUGGAAUUCCUGGUGUAGCGGUGGAAUGCGCAGAUAUCAGGAGGAACACCGGUGGCGAAGGCGGGUCUCUGAGCAGUAACUGACGCUGAGGAGCGAAAGCGUGGGGAGCGAACAGG
rnacentral:rRNA from 1 species